UACGUAGGGUGCGAGCGUUAAUCGGAAUUACUGGGCGUAAAGCGUGCGCAGGCGGAUGUUUAAGUUAGAAGUGAAAUCCCCGGGCUCAACCUGGGAAUGGCUUUUAAGACUGGGCAUCUAGAGUUUGUCAGAGGGGGGUGGAAUUCCAAGUGUAGCAGUGAAAUGCGUAGAGAUUUGGAGGAACACCGAUGGCGAAGGCAGCCCCCUGGGAUAGAACUGACGCUCAUGUACGAAAGCGUGGGUAGCAAACAGG
rnacentral:rRNA from 1 species